GUCCCCUACAUCCAGUGUUUUGGGGCCUUAAAAAAAUGAGGUACGUGUAAGCACUGUAAGGUCGAUCCUGGCCUGUUGGCAGCCGUUUCCGAGGGCUCACGACCAAGAAGGGAGGGACCUAAGGCCCUGCCUGUACCCACAGCAAACCCAGAGAGAGGAAGGAACGUCUCCUACCUCGGUCUCCUCAUCGGGUGCUCAACGUCCAGACUCACAAACAUGCGCUUCUCCCUGCCGCCCACCUUAGCCAGGCCCUGCCCGUAACGUGGCCGACAUGUGUCCCCUACAAGAAGCUGGGGUGCAGGAAGGGGGACGCGGGGAGGCACGGCCAUGGUAAGAUUACCAGCACUUUUUUCAUUACGGGAUUUAAGACAGAUAAAAGGAGAUCUAGGUGAAUUUUCUGAUGAUCCAGAGAAGUAUACAGAGGCUUUUCCGAACGUUACAGUAGGUAUGAGUUGACGUGGAAAGAUACAAUGCUAUUGUUGAAUCAGACUCUUUAAAAAAAUUUUUUUUAAUGUUUAUUUUUGAGAGAGACAGAGUGUGAGUGGGGGAGGGCAGAGAGAGAGGGAGACACAGAAUUGGAAGCAGGCUCCAGGCUCCGAGCCGUCGGCACCGAGCCCGACAUGGGGCUCGAACCCGCGAACUGCGAGAUCAUGAUCUGGGCUGAAGUCGGACGCUCAACCGACUGAGCCACCAGGCGCCCCUGUUGAAUCAGACGCUUUUUUAAAAAUUUUCUUUUGAUGUUUAUUUUUGAGAGAGAGGAAAUCAGACUGUUAUUGAGACAGAAGCGUGGGGUUCUGGCAGUGGCUGGAAGAAAUGGGGACGAGCAACUCGUUAAUUAUCAUGGGACUGGAGGGGCCUAUAGGGGACUUUUAGUUCCCUACUGGGGGGCUCAGGCAUCCCCCCUGCCCCCCAGGAUCCUAAUUGGGAGUAUGACCAUCCCAUUGGGGACUGGUGUCACCAUUUCCAAGCCUGUAUUUUGGAAGGAUUAAGAAGUAAGGUUAAGCCCUUAAAUUAUGCUAAAUUAGCCACUAUCUCAAGACACAGGAUGACAGCCUGGUGGCCUUCCUGGAAAGGUUAAGGGAGGGUGUCAUUAAAUAUACGGCUAUCUUCCUUAACACCUUGAGGCCAAGACGUUUCUGAAGGGCAGAUUUUUCACUCAAUCAGCCCCAGAUAGUCGAUGGAAGCUACAAAAAUUGGCUGUUGGCCCGGAAGGGACCCUGGAAGCUCUUACGAACUAUCGGGUAUGUUACAACUAAGAUAAAGAGGAGAAUGAAGAACCGGAAAGGAGGCUUAAAAACAACAAAACCGAGGCCUUUGCCGUGGCCUUACGUACUGUGUCAGACCAGACUUCCCGAGGCCCUGGCACCAAGCGCCAUUUAUGUGGCUGUUAGGGCGCCGGAAACGAGAAUAUCCUCAGAGGGGACAACACAAGUUGAAGCCCCUCAAUCUGCCAGGGCUCAGGUAACCAGUGUCCCCGAAAGGGCUCUCAAACCUACCGCCUGUUGGAAGCUCAGAGCCUCGGUAGCUCUGGGAACAGAGGGAAAACCGAUUGAUUUCCUUCUUGACCGCGGAGCCACCUGGUCUGUCCUUUCCGCUCCUGGCCGAGCGUCCAAACGCAACGUAAGGACUAGAGGCGUCUCCGGAAAACUGAGGACUAAAUUUUUCUCUCAGCCACAGGGGUGCAUGUGGGGAGGCCUGGUUUUUUCACAUUCUUUUUCACAAUGCCAGAGAGCCCCCCCCGCCACCCCUCCUUUGCUGGGAGGGACAUUACGACUGAAUGAGGGACUAGGGUGAUACUGGCCCCAGGACACAUGAACAGUUGCCUGAACUUACAGUAAUCUGGACGCCGAAGGUCAGUCUCCCCUUGAGGUAAAAUUCUGCCUCAUGGAGUUGUUCCCAUGGAAACUGGAUGGCCAGAGGAUGGAGAGCCAUGAACUGGUUCAGGAGCUUAAUCAUUCUAAUCAGCCAUAACACAAGAUGCAAAAACAUGGAGGAGGGAGGAAGAACUAUGGUUAAAUUGCCAACAAUAGGACCAGACACGUCGGGGACUCUGGAUGGCUACCGUGUGCGUGUCUUCCCUUGGCGUGACCCCCUCCCUAGGAGGCAUCGCAUUUGGAAAUACUAUUGCUUGCUGGUCUAAUACUCUGUUUGUAGGUCAUUUGUAGAAGCUGUUGCACAUACCAGGAGAAUAAGACCUCCAAGAAACUUCCCCUAGCCCUGACGUUCCAAACACCCUCCCAUCACGUCCGCCUCCGGAUGGACCUCUGGGCCUGCCCUGACUGCCAUUCCCCUGUUCCCGCUCCCCUUCGGGAAGCGGUGAAGGUGGGGGGUCAUCCGGGUCCCUAAUGGUAGUCGGGAGUCACGUGUUCAGAGGGGGGUAGGGAAAGACAGGGUUACAUAGGCAGAGAGGGAAAGGUUAGGACCUGAGGCCACUGGGUGGGAAAAGCACAAGUAUUUUGGAACAGUGCUGGGAGCUGCUGACCACAGCGAACGCCCUGGGGCGUGAGGUUCCUAAGAAUGCGACAGAGCCCACCUACUCCCCUUCCGGUUUCCCUCAGGAACUUGACAAAAGACUUAAGUGUGGCCAUAGACCGCCCCCCACACGAUGGAGUCAGGCCCAUCGGGAGCGGACAGUCCAGCACCCGGAGCUACCAAGCCAACAAGGGUAGGACCUGACAAGGGACAAGGGGGAAGGAGGGGGAGGGCGACCAGAACCUUAUAAAACAAGGACUCUUGCCUAGAGGCCCCGGGAUUCACUUGCAGACGUCCCCCUCUGUACAGAGAGCUUUCCUGCCAUGCUUCCUUUCUGAUCCGAUACUCUGAUACGCUUCUCAGCUGCUCGUUUUAUUGUGUCCCCCUCUUCAUUCUUCAAAGCAGUGAGACCACAAACCCGGGUUUUGAGGUAAAAAAAGAUCCUCCAACACUAGGAUGAAGUUCUUGGGUGAGCUUGCAAAGUCGUUUCCCCAGAUAUUUUGGGAACCCGGAACCUUUUUUUUUUUUAAUUUUUUUUUUUUCAACGUUUAUUUAUUUUUGGGACAGAGAGAGACAGAGCAUGAACGGGGGAGGGGCAGAGAGAGAGGGAGACACAGAAUCGGAAACAGGCUCCAGGCUCUGAGCCAUCAGCCCAGAGCCCGACGCGGGGCUCGAACUCCCGGACCGCGAGAUCGUGACCUGGCUGAAGUCAGACGCUUAACCGACUGCGCCACCCAGGCGCCCCUGGAACCCGGAACCUUAAAGCAUCUUCCUUGAGCAUCUGGGUCAUGACUGAAACUAACUGCUGAGCUCAGGUAUCUCCUUUCACCCCACCCCCCAAAGGAAACCAACGGAUCUUUGGGCCUAUUAGUAAACAUGUUUUCCACAUUAACCAAAACUGCACGACGAGGAAGCCUGUGUCUCUAGAAAUUGGAAAAUCGGAAUAUGUUUUAUGAUCUAGAGAAUGCUCCUGUGACGGUUCACAAUUGCUUGUUGGCUUUCACUAGACAUUAAGGGUUUCUAGGGCUUAAAAAUUCUGAUGGAAGCCACUAGAAAUAAUAAGGAAACCUCUCCGUAUGCACGGAAAGUGUGAUUUUGUAAAAAGGAGGGUCGGAGGAGUGGUGAUGUGCUUUUGUCAAGGACAAAGAAACUUGUAGGUUUGUGGAGAAGGAGGCUUUGGAGAGAAAUUUUAACGUGUGGCCAAGCUGGCUAAGAUCACAAUUAAAUUUUAAUAUCAAAAGUAAGUGGCACAAAAUUGGUUUUUGCUCUGAAAAACGACGUUUUCUUGAACUUCAGGUUUGCUGUUGACAACAGCUGAUAAAAGUUUCUUUACUUUUUUUUUUAUUUAUUUAUUUUUUAUUUUUUUUUUCAACGUUUAUUUAUUUUUGGGACAGAGAGAGACAGAGCAUGAACGGGGGAGGGGCAGAGAGAGAGGGAGACACAGAAUCGGAAACAGGCUCCAGGCUCCGAGCCAUCAGCCCAGAGCCUGACGCGGGGCUCGAACUCAUGGACCGCGAGAUCGCGACCUGGCUGAAGUCGGACGCUUAACCGACUGCGCCACCCAGGCGCCCCUAAAGUUUCUUUACUUUUCAAGUAACCCACCAGAAAGCCAAGAUCUGGUGCCUUACCAGGUCUUUGUUUUCCGGCACUUUGACUAAAUCAGCCACUAAGUACCGUCUCACAAUGGUCUGUGACCCUCUGUAGUCAAGUGUCCAAACGUGUUGAUGUUUUCAACAGACUUACCCAAAUCGAAGUCUAAAUAAGGCCUUUACUGACCUCAAACUAAGUUUUGAGAAUUUCCAGAGGGUCCCUGAACAUCUCCAAAGGUUUAUUCUCACUUAAACAAAGAAUGAUGUUCUGCUAAUUAGGUUUAUUCGAUCGUGUUAAAUUCUAUGGAAAGCAUGUGAAAUACAUGAUGAUAACCCACUGUGUCGGUAAAUAUUAAUGUUCUGCAAGUUCUGAGAUCCCCACACACCUAGAAUAUCCUGGAUAGCAUCACCAGUCAUAACCGCAGUUCUCUCCGAAUGUUACGUUCAGAAAUAAUCAAGUCGCUCUGUCGGUUCCGCGUCACGGACUCCCGUCGGAUCCCUGACAUCGGGAGUCUUGUCGUUGCACUUUGGUGCCCUGCCAGUGUCCUGCGAAGGCACCUCCCUCCAAGGAGUCACGGAAAGGACUGACAGGUAGGACCUGACAUCGUGAAAGUGAGCGGGAUGAGAAAUUCUAGAACUAAUAACGAGGAAUGGAUUCAAGCAGAACGAGUAUUAGAUGGAACCGAAUGGAUUCAGAACUCUAAUUUUACGACUUCUGCUUUGAAACACUGGUUUUUACCUUUUUCCAAACUUAAGAAAGCCUUCUCUUUUCUCAUGGGAUCAGCAAUUUAAGAUAUUGCUUUGUGAACAAAGAUGAACAUUUUUCUCCCUCUUUGGCCCCUCCAGAAUUUGCAAACUUCGUAUUCUUGUGCAAGUGUACUGCCACUCAAAUGAGUGAUUUAGGAAUCAUGAUUGGGAAUGUUGGUUAUAUUACCAGGCUCUGACCACAAGGUCUUAUUUGAGGGAGAUGUAAAGACUCCGGGAUGAUCGGCUUUCAGGAACUAAGGCUGACCUUAAUGGAGCCUAUGAGGGCCUUACUUACAGGGUUCCUGGCGGCCUGACCCGGUGAGGAGGGAAGGUUGCUUCUUGGCAGGCCCAAGAAUCUCAGGAAAUGUUUGGAACCUUGAGAAGAGAGGAGUUCACCCAAAUCUGUAUGUAUUGCAGGCAAAGUCUGAUGAUGGCUCCUUAGCGCGGCUUCUCAGCCUGGAGAGUCUUUCAAAGUUCACGGGAGAUUCCUUAUGGAAAGUCUGAGCCAAGUGGACUUAAAAGUCUGUAUGGUGAGCACUCUUCUUCUGCACUUAUGUAAAUAACAAGGCCAAGGUACUGAAACUGUGAAAACAGAGUUAAUCUUGCUGUGAAUGUGGGGGUGACUGUAGAGAGAAAUUACGUUUCAGUAACAUGCCUUCGUGGACAGCAGAUUCUAGUGCCGUGAACGGCCCGUGAGGUUUUGCUUUUACCUGUAAACUGGACUAGAUCCCGAGUUCUUCUAUUUUCUUCCUAUAUUUGGCUGCAGCUCUCCAAACUGGCAUUUCCAGUUCACCCCCUCCCCGCCACCAGUCCUUCUGACUCGGAAUCGUUGAGAACCACGACUGCCCUUUCCCUGAAGCCGUGCGGGUUACAGCCGGACACCGUCACGUGAAGUUCAGAGAAACCACAACAGCUCACGUGUGGGUAACUGCCGUGCCUGCUGCUGUGCGGGCCACUCGGAGAGCUCGCCACACGGCCUCCCUGCAGGCCAGGCCCGUCUGUCUCGUUUCCACCGUCUGCUCCACCCCACCUGAAGAUGCCGCAAGCCGGGCCUCCGGACGUCUGCGCGCCUGGCUGCCUCCGGAACUCACCGAGACCGGAUCUGCUCCCCAGAUUAACCUUCGUUUUUUGUCUCCCCAGAAAUGCCUCUUAUUAAGUAUCUGAUGACUUGCCCCCAGACCUAACUCGGGAGCCUCCUGAAACGGAGCCGGCUGCUUAACUGAACGGCCCUGUCGGCAGGA
rnacentral:lncRNA from 1 species